rnacentral:rRNA from 1 species
UGGAAAAUUCAGAAUUCAUCAGUUAUUUUAGAUAAUACUAUAAAACAAGGUAGAGUAAGAUACAGAAGUGUAAAAGAAAGUGGAUUCAUCAGAUGA